rnacentral:rRNA from 1 species
UGGGGAAUUGUUCACAAUGGGCGCAAGCCUGAUGACGCAACGCCGCGUGGGGGAUGAAGGUCUUCGGAUCGUAAACCCCUGUCGAAUGGGACGAAAGACUCGCGAGUGAAUACUUCGCGAGAGUGACGGUACCGUUAAAGGAAGCCACGGCUAACUCUGUGCCAGCAGCCGCGGUAAUACAGAGGUGGCAAGCGUUGUUCGGAAUUACUGGGCGUAAAGGGCGCGUAGGCGGCCCUCUAAGUCAGACGUGAAAUCCUCCGGCUUAACCUGGGAACUGCGUCUGAUACUGGAGGGCUUGAGUAUGGGAGAGGGAUGUAGAAUUCCAGGUGUAGCGGUGAAAUGCGUAGAUAUCUGGAGGAAUACCGGUGGCGAAGGCAGCUACCUGGACCAACACUGACACUGAGGCACGAAAGCGUGGGGAGCAAACAGGAUUAGAUACCCUAGUAGUCCCUGAGCGGGCUGGCAAGGCGCAU